rnacentral:rRNA from 1 species
UACGGGGGGGGCAAGCGUUAUCCGGAAUUAUUGGGCGUAAAGAGCUCGUAGGCGGUUUGUCGCGUCUGCCGUGAAAGUCCGGGGCUCAACUCCGGAUCUGCGGUGGGUACGGGCAGACUAGAGUGAUGUAGGGGAGACUGGAAUUCCUGGUGUAGCGGUGAAAUGCGCAGAUAUCAGGAGGAACACCCAUGGCGAAGGCAGCUCUCUGGCUUCACCCUGACGCUGAGGCGCGAAAGCGUGGGGAGCGAACGGG